CGGGAGAAAGUGGUGCCAUACCAAAAUUGGAAUAAAACAUAAUAAAAUUUACAUAAAAAACUCUAACUUUUAUCAAACCUAAAUCUACCGUCAAGUCUCAUUUCCCUUCCUCCUCAUAGAGGUAAAAACCCUAAAUCCCUUAAACUUCCAUACUUCUCUCAAAGGCAUUUUCUUGGUAUGUUAAGAAACAUUUUUCUUGGUAUCUUAAGGAACAUUUUUCUUUUAUUUGUCUUACGAUAGAUUUGCUACUCCCAUAUUUUGCAGGUUUGGGGAAAAUAUCAAAUUGAAAAACUGCUAUCCAUCUCACCACAAGUAAGCACACUUUCUUUUUCUAUGUAUCUUUUGGGUUAACCUUUGUUUAUUAUUUUUCAACAACCCAUAUUUGCAGGUUUGUGAAAUCUUCAUUUUUUUUAAUUUUUUUUGUUGGUAGAAAUUGAUUGCUAGUCAGCAAAUAUUUUUACAAUCAAUUUCUUUUCUAGAUUAUAUUUGGGUGUCCCUUUGUGAAUUGUUUGUAAAAGCCUAUGCGUUGUUUGGUUUUUUUCCUUUUGUUCUUCCUCUGCUUCUCUGUUCUUAUAUUUGAAACUUUACCUGUCUCUCUUCUGCUUUGACUGUGAUUGCAUUUUGGUGUUGUUGGGUUUCAAUCGGUUACUGGGUUAUUCUACUGAUCAUUUACUGGAUUCUGCUGGUUUUGCCGUGUUGCUGAACUUGUUGUUGCUGUGUAUUUACACUACUGCUGCUUCUACUGAUCUUCAUCUUUUUUCCUUGCUUUCCAAAUACCAGGUACACAAACUGAUACACUGGUACAUCUUGUAAGCUACUCGAAGCAUGAAUGCAAAAAUGGGAAAGAUUUGAAGCUGUAGUUUAAUGUAGUCUUUUCUUUCUUUUACUGUCUGUACUUAGAACAUUCUAUGCGUUGCCCAUGUAAACUCUGGUUAUAUACUGAAUCUCGGUUGUAUAUAUGUUAGCUAGUUGCCUUCACUAGAAUCAGGUAGUUGUUGGUUNNNNN
rnacentral:lncRNA from 1 species